UACAUAGGUGGCAAGCGUUGUCCGGAAUGACUGGGCGUAAAGGGAGCGUAGGCGGUCUGUUAAGUUGGGAGUGAAAUCCCGGGGCUCAACCCCGGAACUGCUUUCAAGACUGACGGACUUGAGUGUAAGAGGGGUAAGCGGAAUUCCUAGUGUAGCGGUGGAAUGCGUAGAUAUUAGGAGGAACACCAGUGGCGAAGGCGGCUUACUGGAUUAUAACUGACGCUGAGGCUCGAAAGCGUGGGUAGCAAACAGG
rnacentral:rRNA from 1 species